UACGGAGGAUGCGAGCGUUAUCCGGAUUUAUUGGGUUUAAAGGGUGCGUAGGCGGAGUGUCAAGUCAGCGGUAAAAUUUCGGGGCUCAACCUCGUCGUGCCGUUGAAACUGACACCCUUGAGUGAGUGAGAAGUAAGCGGAAUGCGUGGUGUAGCGGUGAAAUGCAUAGAUAUCACGAAGAACCCCGAUUGCGAAGGCAGCGUACCGGCGCCACACUGACGCUGAGGCGCGAAAGCGUGGGGAGCAAACAGG
rnacentral:rRNA from 1 species